rnacentral:rRNA from 1 species
UAGGAAGUGAAUAAGAGCGUAUGGCGAAUGCCUAGGCUCUCGGAGACGACGAAGGACGUGGUAAGCUGCGAAAAGCUAUGGGGAGGUGCAAACAACCUUUGAUCCAUAGAUGUCCGAAUGGGGAAACCCCACAUUUUGAAGAAAUGUGAUUGCGCAAGCAAAGAAAACCCAGGGAACUGAAACAUCUAAGUACCUGGAGGAAAGGAGAACAAUUAGUGAUUCCGCAAGUAGUGGCGAGCGAACGCGGAAAAGCCCUAAAGUCUAUAUAU